rnacentral:lncRNA from 1 species
UGGUUAAAUUGAAAAGUUUUCUACUUUAUUAGCAAGCUCCAAUGCUAUCCUCAUUUCUCUGUCUUCUUAAUACAACUUAGGCUUGAUGUACAAUACUUGCUCUUAUCAAAGUCUGGACCAAUUAGCAGUGGACCUUGCUAGUGAUGCUACAGUAUAGACUGCAUGGAAACCUGAAUGAGAGAUAAGCUACAGUUGGGAGGCACACAACCAGAAAAAGUGUGGGGCCCUGUGUGGUUGCCUGGUUUGCCCUCCCUUAAGGCCACUACUGCACAGGAAGAAGGAGAAGAGUUGCUUCACAGUAAAAUGGGGAGUAUUGACACCACUUGUGUUUUUUCCUCUGUGUUGCCAAAUAACUAUUCUGAAGACUGCAAGGCAAAAACAGGGAAAAAGAUGGACGGCAUAAAAGCAGCUGGAAUCUCUUGAGCGUGAGAGAGAUUCUUGGGAAUUUACUGGUAGAGGCAGGGGACCGGAAGAAAUUGAUAUUAAAGAGGUGAAACUGGCACUUAGUCUACAACUAUGGUCCACUGACAUGGAAUAUUCCUGUAAGGGGAAGUGGUGACAAACACGUCUGUAUAAUAAAGACAAAGGGAUAAUGAGGUUUUGCCCUUGG